GACGAACGCUGGCGGCGUGCCUAAUACAUGCAAGUUGAGCGCUGAAGGUUGGUACUUGUACCAACUGGAUGAGCAGCGAACGGGUGAGUAACGCGUGGGGAAUCUGCCUUUGAGCGGGGGACAACAUUUGGAAACGAAUGCUAAUACCGCAUAAAAACUUUAAACACAAGUUUUAAGUUUGAAAGAUGCAAUUGCAUCACUCAAAGAUGAUCCCGCGUUGUAUUAGCUAGUUGGUGAGGUAAAGGCUCACCAAGGCGAUGAUACAUAGCCGACCUGAGAGGGUGAUCGGCCACAUUGGGACUGAGACACGGCCCAAACUCCUACGGGAGGCAGCAGUAGGGAAUCUUCGGCAAUGGACGAAAGUCAGACCGAGCAACGCCGCGUGAGUGAAGAAGCUUUUCGGAUCGUAAAACUCUGUUGGUAGAGAAGAACGUUGGUGAGAGUGGAAAGCGCAUCAAGUGACGGUAACUACCCAGAAAGGGACGGCUAACUACGU
rnacentral:rRNA from 1 species